rnacentral:lncRNA from 1 species
GCCCUGUCAGUGAAAACAACUGCCUCUCUGAGAGUGACACGUGCAGCUCUUUGGAGACUCUGGAGUGCAGUAUCAGAGAACUGCAGGAAAAUGCAGAUGUUCCAACUGCUCUUCCCCAGGCAGAGCGAAUGGAGAAUUCAGUGCCUGUUGCUAGUGACAGUGACUGGGUUUCAAAUACAGGACUUGAACAACAGAAGCAGCAAAGCAGUCUGACAACUGUCACAAGAGCAGAUGAUCAAGAACACAAAGAAAGGGCUCUAAAUCCUGAACAGCCAUUGGACCUAAAUAAUCACAGCAACAUACCAGAAAUACCUCUAAACAUUUCAAACAACCUUAAUAAAGAGUCUUCUGUGCUAGGUACAGCAUCGAUCCAAUGCAACUCUGACACAGCAAAAGAAAAGGACAAGGAUAAAAGCAGUGCCCUAGUGUCAGAGGAUAUGCGCGGCAGCGAACAUGGGCAAAAUAUUUCUGGUGUGGCCAUGCUUAAUUUGCAAGAUUGCAACGAGCAAAACAAAACUGAUCUCAAGGCAGAAAAAAAAUGCCAAAGUAAGCAAACCUCAAACAAGCCCGAGCAGGAUAAUAAUUCUUUGAUCUCAGCUAGUCAGCAUGAAGCAGCAUGUCAUAGCGAUACGUUUUCUAAAGAAUCUGACAAGAAUGAACAGCCAGGCAGCGUAUGUGGGAUAAAGGAUAAUACUGGUGAAAGCCAUGCUGCUGCUAUAAACGCUCUUCCAGGGACACAGAAUUCAGCAAGUGCCACUAACAUAUCACAGGCUUUGCCAAGUGAUACAGAAAUAGCACAUACUUCUGAUAAUUCUGAGAAAAAUGAUCCUCAAAUAUCUCGUCCAGAAACUCAAGGGAAAAUGCCAUUAAUGGCAAAAAACUCGGAAAAGAUUGAAGAUCUGACUGCUGACAGGGAAAUCAUCCAGAAAGAUGGAAACAUGGAGUUAAAUUUUGAGGACAGCGCUUCUGUCACAGAAACAAGCAACAUGAAAAGUGAUAAAAGUCCAGGGGCACAAGGAUCUCUUUCACCAUUACCAGCACACGGGGAGGUAGUGCCCACUGAUCAGUCAUAUAAAUCCAGCUGCAUUCAAAAGACACCAGAGGAGCCUGGUUAUUGUCAAGCAAAUUUUACAGCCCUCUCUACACAGACCUCUGCACUCAGCCAUCCUAACCAGCAACCUGGAAACAAUGGUACUAGGGGGGUAUUACUAAAUAAUGAGCUGGAAGUUGUAGCAUGCCAAAAUGCCUUAGAAGGUAACUCUAAUUUGCAGAUGGCUGCAGGUUCUCAGGUGUCUGCGCACUUAGGUGCUUCACCCAGGGUAAGCACAGGUAAACCAGCCAAUUCAGAAAACAGCUCUGCGGGGAGUAUGCAUGUGAAUGAAGAAGAUGUUCCAGACCAAAGUUUUCAGGGUGAUGGAGACAGUUUAGCCCUGCCAGAGCCUUUAAAUGUGGGGCAGAGUAC